rnacentral:misc_RNA from 1 species
GUGAACCGAAUUUUUUGUUUGGUUUGGUUUGGUUUUUUGAUUUAAACUAAAUAUUGCAUAGGCCUAUUCUUUGCUCCAAUAUUAUCAACACAGGAGACUGCUAACCCAAAAAAAAAUGUUGUAAAGACCACAACAAUCUAUGGAUAAGUAAGGAACUAACAUAGACUCCACUAAAAUCAUCAAGCUCUUUUUUUUAUUUUCUUUUAUUCUAUCCUCUUGUUCCUUUUUUGUAAAUCUGAUUUUCUUUUUUAAUCUCUCUCUCUAAAUCUGUCUCUUUUUUGGGUAUGUUUCUUUUCUAGAGAAAUAAAGGAGAAAGAAAUAAAGAAAUAGAGUAGAGACUUCAAAACCUUGGCUUUGACGAACAAAAACAGAGUAGGGACUUCAACCUUUGGCUUUGAUGAAGGAGAAGAACAAAGUCGGGACUUCAACCUAAGCUCUGAAACCAUGUUGAAAUUUAGAAGAAUAAAUAGGAGAAAAGUAGCAAAGCGUCAAAACCUCAUUAGGGCUAUGUUUUAUUCACUUGUGUGGUGUUUAUUACAUAAUACAUAGAACUCCAUAUUUAUAGGAAGAUACAUAAUAUAUAUGGAAUGCUAUCAAUAAAUCAUAAAUUACUCAUCUAUACAAACAUAAAUCAAGUCAGUAAUUUUACUAAUCAAUCACAUAAUUUUUUCUUCAAUAAUUAGCAUAGAUGGACCGUGUGUUCUCUGAAAGAAUAGUGGGGAAUUUUAUUGGGGAGCAGACAUGCUCUACGCUAGUAGCUGAGGACUAGUGAAUCUUGAUAAGAACCUUUACACAAUCUGGUUGCUUGAACAUCUCAAACGCUUUGUCUAUAUCUUGCAAUGAAACUUCAUGAGUCAAAAGCUCAUCAAGAUGGAAUUCCUUGUUUUUGCAUUUGUCGAGCACAUAUGGAAGGUCAGAAUUUAUUGUGAGCCCUCCAAAAAGGGAGCCCUUAAGAGUUCUGCCUGUCAGUAAGGGCAAGAAGUCAAUUGUCACAGCUGCAUUUCCAGAACCUAUCGCUAUUGCUUUUCCUAUUCCCUAACAAUCAUCAACAAACAUCUAACAACCAUCAUUUGCCGAUCACUUAAAUUGCACAAGUAAAAAGAACAAAAGGGAAUAGGUACCAUUUUUGUGGAUUGAAGAGCUUCAUUGACUAAGGGUGCAGCGCCACUGCACUCGAAGCAAUAAUCCACUCCUAAUCCACCAGUCAGGUCUUUCACCAGUUGUGAAAUGGGUUUGUCAAAUUCAUCUGGGUUUAUGAAAUGUGUCAUUCCAAAAGCUUGUCCCUUUUCUCUUCUUUUACUAUUCUUAUCUACACCUAUUAUGGUAGCUGCCCCUUGCAUUCGAGCUCCUUCAGUGGCCUGCAAUUCUUUUAAUUUCCCAUUACAGAAGAAACAACUACUCAACUAAAAAGCAAGAGACCAUUUGAAUGAAACAUACCCCUAACCCAACUGCACCAAGGCCUAAUACAGCCACACUUGAACCUUCUUUAACCUUUGCUUCCUUCCAAGCUGCUCCAAACCCAGUUGAAAACCCACAUGAUAAAAUACUUGCAUAAGGCAGAGGUAUGGUUGGAUCAAUCUUUGCAACGUAGUUGGAAUCAAUAACCAUGUAUUCAGACCAGGUGGAGCAAGUAAACAAGUGGUACAACUUAUGGCCUCUAAUGGACAUUCUUGAGGUGUCAUCUGGCAUUAGACCCUUGAGGUUUAGUGGGAAUUUUAGGCACAGAUUAGUCUCUUGUGAUGUGCAAUUUUCGCAUUCUUGGCACUGUGCAAGGAAGGUUGGGAUCACAACAUCUCCUUCUUUUAGCCCAUUUACUUUGUCUCCUAUGCUCUCCACCACUCUUCAAUUGCACAAUUUACUCCAUUAAUAUUGUCAAUAUUGGAAGCAAUUUUAAAAACAAAACACAGAAAGAGAGCUCACCCAACGCCUUCAUGUCCUAGAACUACAGGGAAAAGUGGCUGAAAAAGGAAAAGUGGCCAAAUAUUAGUCCCUCUAAUGAUCCAAAAAGAAUAAGGGUUAAAAUUAUAUAUAGCGGGGUUGAUAACAUCUGGAAUCGCAAAAGCUUUAAUUAAGUCCUGAUUAAUUUUUUUUAAUUAAUUUUUCAGUCUUUUAAAAUCAAUUCAGAAAAUAAUUUUAAUUAAAAGUGAAGAAUACCCACAAAUGGAAAUCCAUGGGCACGAGAGACGUCAGUGUGACAAAUACUAGCACAAAGCAUCUUGACUCUAACUUCAGAAGAAUUUGGUGGGUCCACUUGUAUCUCUUCCACCUUCAAUUCCUCCCCAACUCCCCAUAUUACUGCAGCUGAAGAAACAUCCCAGAAUUAAUUAUGUCCUAGAGAAAGUUUUUAACAUGAAAACACAACACAUAGGGCUUACCUUUGCAUGUUAUGACCUGUGAGGUGUUGCUGCUCCUUGACAUGGCCAUGGAUUGGAUAGGUGAAGCUUUGAAGAUGGCGUGUUCAAGAGCUGAUUGAUAACGUAGAAAGAGGAAGGACAGGAUUCGUUUCUCCUUCCCUUUCUAAUAAUUGUGCAGAACAAGACAAGUUCUGUUGAGAUGUCAACUGUCAAGUGGAGAAAGAUUAUCAAAUACUCUUUG